rnacentral:rRNA from 1 species
GACGAACGCUGGCGGCGUGCUUAACACAUGCAAGUCGAACGGAAAGGCCCUGCUUUUGUGGGGUGCUCGAGUGGCGAACGGGUGAGUAACACGUGAGUAACCUGCCCUUGACUUUGGGAUAACUUCAGGAAACUGGGGCUAAUACCGGAUAGGAGCUCCUGCUGCAUGGUGGGGGUUGGAAAGUUUCGGCGGUUGGGGAUGGACUCGCGGCUUAUCAGCUUGUUGGUGGGGUAGUGGCUUACCAAGGCUUUGACGGGUAGCCGGCCUGAGAGGGUGACCGGCCACAUUGGGACUGAGAUACGGCCCAGACUCCUACGGGAGGCUGCAGUGGGGAAUAUUGCACAAUGGGCGGAAGCCUGAUGCAGCAACGCCGCGUGCGGGAUGACGGCCUUCGGGUUGUAAACCGCUUUCGCCUGUGGCGAAGCGUGAGUGACGGUAAUGGGUAAAGAAGCACCGGCUAACUACGUG